rnacentral:tRNA from 1 species
UAUGUUUAGGUGUUAAAGCACAUGAAUUUUUGAUGUUCAAAGUGAUAAUUCUUAUUGUCAAACAUAU